CACAGCUAUUUCAAUUAAGGUUGUCCCCCGAGCAACGCGGAAAAGUCAAAUACGAGCGAAUGAAUUUAUUAGCGAUUCCCAGCAGCCUUUCGCGCUCGUAAUCGACUUUUCCGCUUUGCUCGGGGGACAACCUU